ensembl:lncRNA
GCUGCACUUCAAGAGAACUACAAUCUUUUAUUUUUUCUUUCUAAGUUUUGUUUUGCUUUGAACUUGUCAGCAUUUUGCCUUGAGCAAUCUCCACCUCUAAGUCUCCAAAUGCCUGGAAAUGAGAAUUUGUCAAGGAAGUAGAGUUAUUGCAGAAUCAUGAGAAUUGGAUAUGGAAAGAAUUCACGAAGCAGUCUAUUCCAACUGCAGGCCACUUAAGAAGAAUUUUUAGUCUGCUCUCCAAUGAUGGGGUAGGCCACUGCAUUCCUCUCACUGUUUGUUGAGCUGAUUUUACCCAAGGC